CAGAGUCAAGAAAACUUUGCUUUUGACUUAUUUACAGCUAGUCACAAUUGAGUGAAGUAUACUCCUGUAAACAAAUUUGGAUUUCUCUCUCUCAAUCUGAUUUCUCCAGAAUGUGGAAACUAUUUAAACAGACUGCAGAUUGAAUUCCUACAUAGGCUAUUCCAGAAUUCUUACGAGACUUGCAUUAGGACAUCAGCAACAGGUAUCAUCUAGUGAACUGUUCAGAUGCAACUGAAUUGAAAAGGAGCUGAACAAAAGAUCCUGAGAGAGACUUCAACAAAAAGUAAAAUGGAUUUUAUCAUACUUGAAAAAUCAACAAUUGCAGUCUGGAUUCAUACAUCACUGUCUGAUGCACCCAACUUGAGUCAAAAAGAUGUUUCAAAUCCCACUAGGCUGGAGGCAAAAAUACUCAAGAGUUUAAGAGCGUCUCUUGACAGUGUACAGAAUAAGAUAGCUUCUCAGCUUUCAGCUUUACUUCACGGUUUUAACUAUCAAAAGAAGCAAGCCAUCUGAAGAUUUGCCUGAGACUGAAGGAUCCACUUCUGCGACGACUCCCUCAGGACUUAUAAUGCAGAUGGAACCAGAUUGAGAAAAACCAGCCAACCAACCAACCAACAUGAUGGCUGAACCAGACAAGAGAAGUCCCGAAGUAAAAUACCCACCAAUUACCAGAAUCUGUGCCUGCCAUACAUCGAAGAAUCUUGCUCUGUCGCUCAAGCUGGAGUGCAGUGGUGUGAUCUCAGCUCACUGUAAGUUCUGCUGCCCAAGUUGAAGCGAUUCUUCCACCUCAGCAUCCUGAGCAGCUGGGACUACAGGUACACACCACUGCACCUGGCUAAUCUUUAUAUUUUUAGUAGAAGUGGGAUAUCACCAUGUUGGCCAGGCUGGUCUUGAACUCCUGACUUCAAGUGAUCUGCCUGUCUUGGCCUCCCAUACUGCUGGGAUUACAAGUGUGAACCACCAUGCUGGCCUGUGACAUUUUAAUCUAGUCAAUCAGUCUUGGAAAAUAAAGCCUUGCUUUCUGUGGCACC
rnacentral:lncRNA from 1 species